UACGAAGGGGGCUAGCGUUGCUCGGAAUGACUGGGCGUAAAGGGCGCGUAGGCGGUUUGGACAGUCAGGCGUGAAAUUCCCGGGCUUAACCUGGGGGCUGCGCUUGAUACAUCCAGGCUUGAGUGGGGAAGAGGGUCGUGGAAUUCCCAGUGUAGAGGUGAAAUUCGUAGAUAUUGGGAGAACACCGGUGGCGAAGGCGGCGACCUGGUCCUUACUGACGCUGAGGCGCGAAAGCGUGGGGAGCAAACAGG
rnacentral:rRNA from 1 species